UGUUUUUUGUUUUUUGUUUUGUUUCAGAAUAAAUAAUCCAUCUAGAUUCUGUUUAGAUGUGGUUUUAUCUUUUAAUUAGUGUUUGUGCCAAGUUAAACCUAUUAGAUCUUCUUGGAAGAUAGUUAUUUGAUCUUGCUGUAAUUUCCAGAAUCUUUGCGCUCAGUGCCCGAAUUGUCAAAAAUCACCAGAAUGUGAUAAAAUAGUGAUUCUGGUUGCUUCUGAUCAAUAAACAAAUUUCCCAGGUCGUCUAAUUUUGGUAGAACUUUUUGGGUUCCAGAAGUUUGCGUUAGUAACAGAUUACUACAGACUGUUCUGUUUUUGACAGAUUCUGUUUUGCGUGUGUUGUUUGCUUAUUUUGAUGAAUCUAUGGCUAGUAAAAUAGUUUAUAAACCAUAGAUAAGUUGGAAUACAGUAGGUUUAACACCAAUAAAAAUAAAGAACAAGUUCACUACAGUACCUUAAAGUAGUCUUUUGUUUUCUUUCUCUAACGGAGCUCAGGAGAUUUCUAUUGAGUUUUGUGUUGUGAAGUUUUCAAGUUUUGGGUGAAUUCUUUUGAUGGAUUAUGGAACAAGGAGUGGCAAGAGCAUAAGCUUGGGGAUGCCCAUGGCACCCCCAAGAUAAUCCAAGGACACCAAAAAGUCAAAGCUUGGGGAUGCCCCGGAAGGCAUCCCCUCUUUCGUCCACUUCCAUCGGUAAUUUACUUGGAGCUAUAUUUUUAUUCACCACAUGAUAUGUGUUUUGCUUGGAGCGUCUUGUAUUAUUUGUGUCUUUGCUUGUUAGUCUACCACAAUCAUCCUUGCUGUACACACCUUUUGAGAGAGCCAUGUAUGAAUUGAAAUUUGUUAGAAUACUCUAUGUGCUUCACUUAUAUCUUUUGAGCUUGAUAGUUUACUCUAUGUGCUUCACUUAUAUCUUUUUGAGCGUGAUAAUUUUUGCUCUAGUGCUUCACUUAGAUCUUUUAGAGCACGGUGGUGGUUUUUUUAAAGAAACUUGAUCUCUCAUGCUUCACUUAGAUUAUUUUGAGAGUCGUUAAUAGCAUGGUAAUUUUCUUAAUGUUAAUAUACUUGGUAUUCAAGAUAUGUGAAACUUUCUUUUUAGUGGGUUGAAUACUAAGAUAAGUUUGAUGCUUGAUAAUUGUUUUGAGAUAUGGAGGUGAUAAUAUCAUAGUCGUGCUAGUUGAGUAGUUGUGAAUUUUAGAAAUACUUGUGUUGAAGUUAGCAAGUCCCGUAGCAUGCACGUAUGGUUAAAGUUGUGUAACAAAUUUGAAGCAUGAAGUGUACCUGGCUUGUGCAUCCUUAUGAGUGGUGGUCGGGGACGAGCGAUGGUCUUUUCCUACCAAUCUAUCCCCCUAGGAGCAUGUGCGUAGUACUUGAUUUUUGAUGACUUCUAAAUUUUUGCAAUAAGUAUAUGAGUUCUUUUGACUAAUGUUGAGUCCAUGGAUUAUACGCACUUUUACCUUUCUGCCAUUUGCUAGCCUCUUUGGUACCGUGCAUUGCCCUUUCUCACAUUGAGAGUUGGUGCAAACUUCGCCGGUGCAUCCAAACCCCGUGAUAUGAUACGCUCUUUCACACAUAAACCUCCCUAUAUCUUCCUCAAAACAGCCACCAUACCUACCUAUCAUGGCAUUUCCAUAGCCAUUCCGAGAUAUAUUGCCAUGCAACUUCCAUCAUCAUCAUCAUCAUGACAUGCUUUACUUUUGUCAUAUUGCCAUUGCAUGAUCUUGUAGUUGACAUCGUAUUUGUGGCAAAGCCACCAUGCAUUAUUUUCAUACAUGUCACUCUUGAUUCAUUGCACCAUCCCGGUACACCGCCGGAGGCAUUCAUAUAGAGUCAUAUCUUGUUCUAGUAUCGAGUUGUAAUCAUUAUGUUGUAAUCAAUAGAAGUGUGAUGAUCAUCAUUAUUAGAGCAUUGCCCAAAUCAAAAAAAAGAGAAGAGAGAGAGAAAGGCCAAAAAUAAAAAAUAAAGGCCCAAAAAAAGAGAAAAUAAAAAGGGGAAUGCUACUGUCUCUUUUUCCACACUUGUGCUUCAAAGUAGCACCAUGAUUUUCAUAUAGUGAGUCUCAUAAGUUGUCUUGUUCAUACUAGUGGGAAUUUUUCAUUAUAGAACUUGGCUUGCAUAUUCCAACGAUGGGCUUCCUCAAAAUGCCCUAGGUCUUCAUGAGCAAGCAAGUUGGAUGCACACCCACUAGUUUUCUUUUGUUGAGCAUUCUUAGCUCUAGUGCGUCUGUUGCAUGGCAAUCCCUACUCCUUGCAUUAACAUCAAUUGAUGGGCAUCUCCAUAGCUCAUUCAUUAGCCUCGUUGAUGUGAGACUUUCUCCUUUUUUGUCUUCUCCACACAAUCCCCAUCAUCAUAUUCUAUACCACCCAUAGUGCUAUGUCCAUGGCUCACGCUCAUGUAUUGCGUGAAGGUUGAAAAAGUUUGAGAUUAUUUGAGUAUGAAACAAUUGCUUGGCAUGUCAUCGGGGGUAUAGAAGUUGGGAACAUCUUUGUGUGACGAAAAUGAAGCAUAGCCUAACUAUAUGAUUUUGUAGGGAUGAACUUCCUUUGGCCAUGUUAUUUUGAGAUGACAUAAUUGUUUGAUUAGUAUGCUUGAAGUAUUAUCAUUUUUAUGUCAAUAUGAACUUUUGUCUUGAACCUUUCGGAUCUGAAUAUUCAUACCAUGAUUAAGAAGAUUUACAUUGAAAUUAUGCCAAAGUAUCACUCCGCAUCAAAAAUUCUCUUUUUAUCAUUUACCUACUUGAGGACGAGCAGGAAUUAAGCUUGGGGAUGACUGAUACGUCUCCAACGUAUCUAUAAUUUUUGAUUGCUCCAUGCUACUUUAUCUACUAUUUUGGACUAUAUUGGGCUUUAUUUUCCACUUUUAUAUUAUUUUUGGGACUAACCUAUUAACUAGAGGCCCAGCCCAGAAUUGCUAUUUUUUGCCUAUUUCAGUAUUUCGAGGAAACAGAAUAUCAAACGGAGUCCAAACGGAAUGAAACCUUCGGGAACGUGAUCUUCUCAUCGAACGUGAUCCAGGAGACUUGGACCCCUACUCCAAGAAGUUUCCGGGGAGGUCACGAGGGUGGAAGGCGCCCCCUGGGUGCGCCCCCUGCCUCGUGGGCCCCUCGGAGCUCCACCGACGUGCUCCUUCCUCCUAUAUAUACCUACGUACCCCCAUUAGACCAGGCGAGCCAAAAAAACCUAAUUCCAUAGCCGCAACUUCCUGUAUCCACGAGAUGCCAUCUUGGGGCCUGUUCCGGAGCUACGCCGAAGAGGGCAUCCAUCACAGAGGGCUUCUACAUCAACACCAUAGCCCUUCCGAUGAAGUGUGAGUAGUUUACUUCAGACCUUCGGGUCCAUAGCUAGUAGCUAGAUGGCUUCUUCUCUCUUUUUGGAUCUCAAUACAAUGUUCUCCCCCUCUCUCGUGGAGAUCUAUUCGAUGUAAUCUUCUUUUUGCAGUGUGUUUGUUGAGACCGAUGAAUUGUGGGUUUAUGAUCCAACUUAUCUAUGAAUAAUAUUUGAAUCUUCUCUGAAUUCUUUUAUGUAUGAUUGAGUUAUCUUUGCAAGUCUCUUCGAAUUAUCCGUUUGGUUUGGCCAACUAGAUUGGUAGUUCUUGCAAUGGGAGAAGUGUUUAGCUUUGGGUUCAAUCUUGCGGCGUCCUUACUUAGUGACAGAAAGAGUUACAAGGCACGUAUUGUAUUGUUGCCAUCAAGGAUAACAAGAUGGGGUAUUUAUCAUAUUGCAUGAAUUUAUUCCUCUACAUCAUGUCAUCUUGCUUAAGGCGUUACUCUGUUUUUAACUUAAUACUCUAGAUGCAUGCUGGAUAGCGGUCGAUGAGUGGAGUAAUAGUAGUAGAUGCAGGCAGGAGUCGGUCUACUUGUCACGGACGUGAUGCCUAUAUACAUGAUCAUACCUAGAUAACCUCAUAACUAUGCUCAAUUCUAUUAAUUGCUCAACAGUAAUUUGUUCACCCACCGUAGAAUAUCUAUGCUCUUGAGAGAAUCCACUAGUGAAACCUAUGGCCCUCGGGUCUAUUCUCAUCAUAUCAAUCUCCAUUACUUUAUUUUACUUGUUUUGCUUUUACCUUUCACUUUGCAUCUUUAUACCAAAAAUACCAAAAAUAUUAUCUCUAUCAGAUCUCACUCUCGUAAGUGACCUGAAGGGAUUGACAACCCCUAAGCGUUGGUUGCGAGUUGCUACCGUUUUGUGCAGGUACGAGGGACUUGCGCGUGACCUCCUACUGGAUUGAUACCUUGGUUCUCAAAAACUGAGGGAAAUACUUACGCUACUGUGCUGCAUCACCCCCUCCUCUUCGGGGAAAACCAAUGCUAGCUCGAGACAUAGCAGCGCGCCACUAUGCGAGACGAUAAUCAUCACGCCGGAUACAGUAAAAGUAAGCCCAGCCGGACCGGACACAGCCGGCAAGACUCAUUCGAGUUGCGUCACGACAUAGCCCAGUAUAGAGGCGCCGCACACCCCCUAUGCUUCACAGACGAUGUAAUGGAUCAUCAAAUCCCAGAGGGUUUCAAACCCAUAAAUAUAGAAUCAUACGACGGCACAACAGAUCCUGCGGUAUGGAUCGAGGAUUUCCUCCUGCAUAUCCACAUCGCCCGUGGUGAUGAUCUACACGCCAUUAAAUACCUCCCACUCAAGCUCAAAGGACCAGCUCGGCAUUGGCUCAAUAGCUAGCCAGCAGAGUCCAUUGGCUGUUGGGAAGAUCUGGAAGCCGCAUUCCUCGACAACUUUCAGGGCACUUAUGUGCGACCACCAGAUGCCGAUGACUUGAGCCACAUAGUUCAGCAGCCAAAGGAAUCGGCCAGGAAAUUCUGGACACGGUUCCUAACAAAGAAAAAUCAAAUCGUCAACUGUCCGGAUGCAGAGGCCCUAGCAGCUUUCAAGCACAACAUCCGUGACGAAUGGCUCGCCCGGCACCUUGGCCAGGAAAAGCCGAAAUCUAUAGCAGUCCUCACGACACUCAUGACCCGCUUCUGUGCGGGAGAGGACAGCUGGCUGGCUCACAGCAAUAACAUAUCAAAGAACCAUGGUACUUCGGAUACCAAGGACGGCAACGGCAGGUCACGUUGCAACAAAUAUAAGCGCCACAUUAACAGCGACAAUACCGAGGAUACGGUAGUCAAUACUGGAUUCAAAGGCUCUAAACCCGAUCAGCGGAAAAAGCCAUUCAAAAGAAGCACUCCGGGCCCGUCCAGUUUGGACCGUAUACUUGAUCGCUCGUGCCAAAUACACGGCACCCCCGACAAGCCAGCAAACCACACCAACAGGGAUUGUUGGGUGUUCAAGUAGGUCGGCAAGUUAAUGCCGAAAACAAAGAUAAGGGGUCACAUAGCAAUGACGAGGAGGAGCCCCGGCAGACGAACACCAGAGGACAGAAGAGGUUCACCCCACAAGUGUGGACGGUGAACAUGAUAUACGCAACCCACAUCCCCAAGAGGGAGCGGAAGCGUGCGCUCAGGGACGUAUAUGCGUUGGAGCCAGUCGCCCCAAAGUUCAACUCAUGGUCCUCCUAACCGAUCACCUUCGAUCGCAGGGACCACCCCACUAGUAUCCGUCAUGGCGGAUUCGCCGCACUGGUCCUAGACACAAUCAUUGACGGAUUUCACCUCACUCGAGUCCUAAUGGACGGCGGCAGCAGCCUGAACCUGCUUUAUCAGGACACUGUGCGCAAAAUGGGUAUAGACCCCUCAAGGAUCAAACCCACAAAAACGACCUUUAAAGGUGUCAUACCAGGUGUAGAGGCCCAUUGCAUAGGCUCAAUCACACUGGAAGUGGUCUUCGGAUCCCCGGAUAACUUCCGAAGCAAAGAGUUAAUCUUCGACAUAGUCCCAUUUUGCAGUGGCUACCAUGCACUGCUCGGGUGAAUCGCAUUCGCAAGAUUCAAUGCGGUACCACAUUAUGCAUAUCUCAAGCUCAAGAUGCCAGGACCUCGGGGGUUCAUCACAGUCAAUGGAAACACAGAGCGCUCUCUCCGCAUAGAGAGCACACUGCGGCCCUCGCAGCAGAAGCACAAAGCAGCCUCUUAAGGCAAUCCACUAGUUUGGCGAUUGAGAACCCGGACAACUUCAAGCGUGCCCAGAGUAAUCGGCAACUGAACCGCCUGGCAUGUUCCAAGCUCGCAUAGCAAUGCGCCCCCACCCCGGUCCCAGCCAAACAGCGAAAUUCGUGCCACGCGUACAUAAUUACGCAUUAAAAAUACCAUGGGCACAGGCGGGGAGGGGGGCACAACUACAGCAUGCCCCAAUACGCGGCUUAAACCGCACUAGGGGCUUCCCGCUUUGUUAUUUUUCUCUUUUCAGGACUUUAAUCUCUGAAAACCCUGUCCGGCAGCAUGAUUGCCGAACACAUUAUGCAGCAACCAAGGAGGCAGAAAGCUACGUCACACCACGGAACUCCCAGGUGGAUUACGAUAGCAAGUGAAAUAUUUUCUUUAAUACUAUUCCUUAACUUGCCCUUGGAAGGGAGAUGUCAAACAGCCCUACUUUUUGCUUGUCGCACUACUUGUAUCAUUCUGUUUUGACACACCUUUUUGAAUAAACAAUGCAUAGCAUUAAGACUAUUAUUGCAUUCUUCCUUUAUAUAUAUAUAUAUAUAUAUGUUCAUUCACGACAUCUAGCACCCGUACACUCUGGUACGGCCAAUACGCCAGGGGCUUAAGCAUACCCCAUAAUACGGCGUGAGAAGUCCGAACACUUUCGACAGUGCGGCACCCCGAACUUAUAGCAUUAUAUGCAUCAGCUCCGAAUCAUGUCUUGGGUCAAUAGUUGUGUUUGCCCGGCACCCAUGUUUUGGUACCUUACGUUCCGCUAUAUCGGCUAAGGUAGCACUGGGAGAACUACUGCGAUUGUGCCCAGGUUAUGCUGGGCUAAGCACCUUAGUAGAGAAAGAUAAAACUGACUGUCAUGAUAAGGCGAGAGACUGGUCGCUGUUUGAGAGGUUUCAAGUCCCUAAAGACUUAUGCCGCUUAGAGCGAGGAGUCGGCCCUGUCCGGCUUAAGGCAUGUAUCGCGCCCCGAAUUCGGCCUUCCGAAUACUAGGGGCUUUGCCGAAAUUUGAAAUUAUAGAAUUCUAUGGCUAAGUGAGAGUGAUAACGCAGUAUAGUCUGAUUGCCUUGUUCGUUGUGCUGAGCACCUCCCUCGAAGGACCCAACAAUGGGAACAAGAGUGCUCAGGUUUAUCCCGAACACCCCAGCACUCGUGGCGUGGGGGCAGAAGACGACGACUAGCCAUCUCUCAGAUUUGAUAAAUGGCCGAACAGAAGGCAAUAUUUUAAAUUCAAACAAGUGUUGCAUAGCACAUAUGAACAAGUUUUCAUAAUACAGGAUUACACGAGCAAGUUUACUCAAAUAUUACAUCUUUCGUACACUCGUCCGCUACGAGACGGGCACCCUUUAGGACACCCUCAUAGUACAUCUCGGGGUGGCGAUGCUCCUUGCCCUCUGGCAGCCCUUCCUUCACCAGCUUCACGGCGUCCAUCUUGGCCCAUUGCACCUUCACACGGGCGAAAGCCCGACGUGCACCUUCGAUGCAGACAGACUGCUUGAUGACUUCCUGCCGUGGACAGGCAUCAAUAAGCCACCUCACCAGGCCAAAGUAGCUAUUGGGAAGGGCGUCGCCAGGCCACAUCCGGACUAUAAAGCCCUUCAUGGCCUGUUUGGCCGCCUUGUGCAGCUCGACCAGUUGCUUCAGCUGGUCGCUCAGAGGCAUCGGGUGUUCGGUCCCAGUAUACUGAGACCAGAACAACUUCUCCGUUGAGCUUCCCUCCUCGGCCUGGUAAAACUGUGCGGCAUCCGACACGCUGCGGGGCAAAUCUGCGAAUGCUCCUAGAGAGCUCUGGAUUCGGGUAAGUAACAAGUAAUUUACUUUCACAUGCUUGCUUUGCAUAUAGAAUGCCUUACCCGCCGCUAUCUUCUUCAUCGCAUCAAUCUCCUGGAGGGCCUUUUGGGCUUCGGCCUUGGCAUUCUUUGUGCUCUCGAGGGCCGCGGCAAGCUCGGACUCUCGCAUCUUCAAGUCAAGCUCCAACACCUCGUGCUUCGUCACGAGAGCGUGGAGCUCUUGCUGCACCUCGCCCACCCGAGCCUCCUGCCUUUCCCACUCGGUGCGCUCUUUGGAUGCUUUGUUUUCGGCCUCGGAUAGCGCUUGCUUCAGGGUCACCACCUCGGUCGUGGCCCCUGGCAAAUUUAUGAUGGUCCUGUCAUUUUGCAAUCGCAUUCUUUUUAUAUAUAUCCAUAGACUAGGUACUACUUACCUUUGUUCUCCUCGAGCUGCCUCUUGGCAAGGCCGAGCUCUUCCUUGGACCCUUUGAGGUCCUGCUUCAGUGUGGCAACCUCCGCAGUCAGUGCGGCAGAGGCCAGCAGUGAAGCCUGCAUACGCAUAUAGACAUACUUAUAUUAGACUCCUGUGAUAUUGUUUGAUCCUCUAUUCGGCUUUUCUUUGUGAACACCGAACAGAGCGUUAGGGGCUAUUGUCUAUGCGGUAAUAUUUUUCCUAUAUUUCAAAAACCUAUCUCAAAGCUUGUUAGAAGGCUGGCAUAGGCUUCAGUUAGUCCACUCUUGGCGGACUGAACCUUCUGGACCACCGCGCUCAUAAUAGUGCGGUGCUCUUCGUCGAUGGAAGCGCUGUGAAGCGCUCCCAGCAGAUUGUUCGGUGCCUCUGGAUGGACAGAGGUCACCGGCACAUGCGUCUUGCCCCUUUUGGAAGGAGGCCGCCUGCCCGAGUCCGGAACCACAGGGGGUUCCGGCGCGGUGUUCGACUGAGGGCCAAACUCGGAACCCUCGGGAGCCUUGCUCCCUCUGCUCCCGGAGUCCGAAAGGUCGCCUUGAGGCGCCUCCGUGAUUGUCUCCCCUCGACCCGGUGCCUCUUGAGACAAUACCUCGGUGUUGUCCAUAGGGCAAGGGGAGGUGGCAGUCGGAAGUGGAUCGCUAUCCAUAUCCGACGAGCCCAGGGAGCCGUUCGACGAGGAUACGUCGAUACGGGCUCGUGGCGGUCUACAUAGUCAUAAUUCGGCGUUAGGAGAAGCAGUGCGACAAAGGCAUGCUAUGAGUUACUCUAGUAUCCGAAUACUUACGACUUCGCCAGGGGCUUGGCCCUGAGCAGCCACUCGUCUUCGCCUUCAGCGGCGGUGGUGGAAUAGUCCGGAAGGAGGGUCCUGCCCUUCUUCGACCCUUUGCCCCCCCUGGUUGGGGUGGCCUUCCUUUUCUUAUCUCCCCCGACUAAAGGGCGAGCAUCUUCAUCUUCCUCCUCGUCUUCGGGGGAGGAGUGUGUCGCGGAGUUAUCGGACGAUGAGCCCGAUAACACCUGGCGUCAGGAACUCUUUCGGGUUCCCUUGGCCUUCUUGGUCUUCUCCGGCACCUUGUAAGGAGCCGAAGUCAGCAUCUCCGCCAGGAGAGUGUCCCCAGUGUCUUCAGGCAGAGGGGACGGACUGUUAAUCUGCCCCGACGUCUCCACCCAGUCCUGUCAAAGGCAUGGAGCUCAGACCCCGCACAUGGUUAAGCUAGGGGAAAUAAAUAUCCUACUGGAUGUAUAGAACUCACCGAAUGUUCUCGGCGCUUCGCGCUUAGCCCGCGGUCCUCGGUGAGAGAGGGAGGGACCUCGACGCCCUAGUACAGCACCCUCCAGACGUCCUUGUGCGUCGUGUCGAAGAGAUUGCUCAGAGUCUGGUGCUGGGUCAGGUCGAACUCCCACAAGUUGAAAUCCCGUUGUUGACACGGGAGGAUCCGGCGGAUGAGCAUGACCUGGACUAUGUUGACAAGCUUGAGCUUCUUGCUUGCCAUAUUCUGGAUACAUUUCCAGAGUCCGUCCAGCUCCACCGAUGAACCCCAGGAUAGGCCCUUCUCUUUCUAGGAGGUGAGCCGCGUGAGGAUUCCGGAUCGAAACUCGGGGGCCGCCACCCAGUUGGUGUCACGCGGCUCGGUGAUGUAGAACCACGCCGAUUGCCACCCCUUUAUGGUCUCCACGAAGGAGCCUUCAAGCCAUAUAACAUUGGGCAUCUUGCCCACCAUGGCUCCGCUACAUUCUGCUUGUUGGCCUCCCACCACCUUUGUCUUGAUAUUGAAGGUCUUCAGCCACAGGCCGAAGUGGGGCCGGAUGCGGAGGAAAGCCUCACACACAAUGAUGAACGCCGAAAUGUUGAGGAUGAAGUUCGGGGCCAGAUCAUGAAAGGCCAGCCCAUAGUAGAACAUGAUACUGCGGACGAAUGGAUGGAGGGGAAACCCCAGUCCGCAGAGGAAGUGGUGGAGGAAAACUACCCUCUCGUGAGGUUUCGGGGUAGGGACGAUCUGCCCCGCAGCGGGCAGCCGAUGCACGAUAUUCGCGGCUAGGUAUCCGGCCCCGCGCAGCUUUUUGAUGUGUCCCUCCGUGAUGGAGGAUGCCAUACACUUGCCUCCCGCUCCGGACAUGUUUGGAGAAGGUUGAGGAGAAGGAUGUGGACUUGGGCGUUGGAGCUCGAGUGCGCAAGAAUGGAUGAGCAAGGAGGAAGAAGGCGUGGGUAGAAAAAGGUUAAAUCUUAUCCCUUUAUAAGGGCGGCCGAAACUAUGCACCCCCACUAGCCUGGUAAAACUCGCUUAUCCCCCAAGCGCCGUAAUUGAUGGCGCGGUUGGGUUACCCACGCCCGUAUUGAUGAGAAUCCCGUAAUAAGGGGGACACGGUCUCUACUUUGACAAGACGUGUCAAGGAACUGCCUCACGUUAUGUGCGGGGCUAGUUAAAGGAAACAGUUUGAAUAAUCACCGGGCCAUGGCAUAAUGUCAUGUUGCCAAAACAUGUCAGCAGAUUAGAUUUGUGGAAAUAUUAUUCUCUCUAUGGUGGUAUGUGGAACUUAUUUUGCAGGGUCGGACACUAUCCUUGUAUUCAAAUUCUUCCGUGGUGUAUUCGGAGAAGGAACCCGCCUUGCAAUGUCGAAGACAACACUGCGCGCCGGACUCAUCGUCAUUGAAGCCUGGUUUAGGGGCUACUGAGGGAGUCCUGGAUUAGGGGGUCUCUGGACAGCCGGACUAUAUCCUUUGACCGGACUGUUGGACUAUCAAGAUACAAGAUUGAAGACUUCGUCUCGUGUCCGGAUAGGACUCUACUUGGCGUGGAAGGCAAGCUAGGCAAUACGGAUAUGUAUAUCUCGUCCUUUGUAACCGACCUUGUGUAACCCUAGCCCCCUCCGGUGUCUAUAUAAAUCGGAGGGUUUUAGUCCAUAGGACAACAUACAAUCAUACCAUAGGCUAGCUUCUAGGGUUUAGCCUCUCAGGUCUCGUGGUAGAUCAACUCUUGUAAUACUCAUAUCAUCAAGAAUAGAUCAAGCAGGACGUAGGGUUUUACCUCCAUCAAGAGGGCCCGAACCUGGGUAAAACAUUGUGUCCCCUGCCUCCUGUUACCAUCCGCCUUAGACGCACAGUUCGGGACCCCCUACCCGAGAUCCGCCGGUUUUGACACCGACAGACAACCUUUCUUGAUUGCGCUGGCUUGAUGAAGACUAGUAGAUUGCUCCCCCAUACUCCGCUAUGGGUGAGCCACUCUUCGGCACACCUUCACAGGUCCAUCGUCACCACAAUGGAUGACAAGCUUCAAGCAUGAUCUCUUUGUGAUUCUCCACUUGAACUUGCACACCGCAAACUUGAUCACUAUCACCACUUGAUGUCAUCCUCCAUGUGUUUUUUUUGACCUGGAAGACUGCAGAGCUUACACCCCAUAGAAUUUUAUUAGAAAAAAACAAGGUACAAAUACAAGGUUCCUCAAGAGGAGGAACAAAGACACAGAAUAAAACUAUACAGGAAAGGCUAUAUAAAUCUAAAAAGAAAGGAGAGGCACUAAAAUCUACAACUAGGAAAGAAAGAAGAUACAUAUAAGAUGGCCCUCAAGGGGGCAAGAAAUCAAUCCAUUAGAGUAGAGCUUCCUUGUAUCUGGUCUUGAUCCGGUGUGAAAGAAGAGUAAUAUUGUGAACAAACCCAUUUCUCCACUGCCUAAAAGUUGGUUUGACAUGUCUAAAAGCCCUGUCGUUCCAAACUUUCCAAAUAUUACACCAUGUAAGAAAUACCACCUCUGAGAAAAAAUGCUUAUUAAACUCCUUUCUGGCAUGUAAGGCAAUUUGCACCAUAUCGUUGCUAUCCAACCAGGAAACCUGUAGAUAGUUCCAGAUUCUCAUACUGAAGUUACAUUGGAAGAACAGAUGGUUCCUAUCCUCAAUUACUCCAGUCAGGCAUAGGACACAACUAGGUCCAUCAUGAAUUUUCCAAUGGCAUCGUUGAAUCAUAUCCUUAGUGUUAACUCUAUCCAUAAUUACCAGCCAGGCAAACGUUUUAAUUGUCAUGGUAUGGCAACUCUUCCAAACCCAGCUCAGAAUGGGAUUCGCAGGAACAGGCUGAUGGGCAAAAUCAUAGUACUUUUUUGCUGAGUACUUUGCCUUUUUCCAUGCCUCCAAGUCCAGAUAUCAUUACAACCAUUGUCCAAGGAGGUCACAGCUAACAAGCUUGAUAACUGAUUGAACUCCCUAAAAGCCAGUUCAGACAAUGGUAAAGAAAACAUUUGCUGUAAAUUUCCUGCCUGUACCACUUCCAUGACAGAGAGGUUCUUCUGCAAGCAAAAAGAGAAAGUCCUUAGAAACCUUUCUUGCAGAGGAAUGCAAGACUGGUCAAUCUCCCAAUGAUCAGACCAAAAUAGCACAGAAUCUCCUCUGCCAAUAGUGACAGAGGUAACAGCCCUAAACUUAUCCAUUAAUUUGCAAAUGUCCCUCCACCAGAAAGAGCCACAUAGAGUAGUGUCAUGAGGAAUUCUCUGAAAGUAGUAUGAAUCCCACACCAAACGAACCCAUGGCACAUCUGCUUUAUUAUAGAACUUAUUCAGGUACUUAAGAAGCAGUGCAUCAUUCUGUAGUCCCGGAUUCAAAAUUCCAAGCCCCCCCCCCUUCAUCUUAGGCCUGCAGACAAGGGGCCAAGCAGCCAAAGAGUGCCCCUUCUCUUGACCAUAUUUCCUCCAGAGGCACUAUCUCUGAAUCCUUUCUAACUGCUUUAGAAUACCUGGUGGCAAAGAUAGACUACAAAGGAAGAAAAUAGGCAGUGAAGAUACCACUGAAUUUACCAGUUGCAACCUACCGCCUUGUGGUAAAAACCAAGAGCUAGCAGUUAGCCUUCUUUCCAUGCAGUCCACCAAAGGUAGAAAAUCAACAAUUUUGGGCCGAGUGGUUCCAACAGGAAGUCCCAAAUAAGUGAAGGGCAUUGAACCUAGCUGGCAACCAAACUAAGCAGCAAGUGCAGCGGCAAUAGAGGCUUCCACAUUGAUUGGGUACAUUGAAGAUUUGUGGAAGUUAAUUUGCAGUCCAGUUGCCAAAGAAAAGGAGUUGAGCACUGAUUUGAGGACCUCCAACUGAGCUGAGUCAGCAUUCACAAACAACAAAGUAUCAUCAGCAUACUGCACCACUUGAUAAUCAGGAUCAUGUGUUGGCAAUGGAAAGGUUAGUUGACCCUUGCACAAAAGAGCAUUGAUCAUGGUCUGCAAAAGAUCAGCAGCAAUCACAAAAAGCAAAGGAGAGAUAGGAUCUCCUUGCUAUACACCACAUUUGCACUUGAAAUGUUUUCCAGGCACAUUUAACAGGAUAGAUGAGGUUGCCGAAGAUAGUAGCUGUUGAACCCAGGUGAUCCGUUUGCUAUCAAAACCUUUUGCCACAAGAAUUUUCAAAAUUGCCUCAUGCUGAAUAGAGUCAAAGGCUUUUUCAAAGUCAAGCUUGAGCAAUAUGAUUGGCUUCUUUGAGUGGUUGCAUUGAUGAAUAUACUCAAAAGUCCAAGCAAUACAAUCAUGAAUUGUUCUUGAUUUAAUGAAGCCAUACUGAUUCUUAUGAACACAGUUGGUGAUUUCCUCUUGAAACCUAUUAGCUACCAGUUUAGUCAGAAAUUUCAGUCCCACACUUGUCAAGGAGAUUGGCCUAAAAUCUCCUACACCCUCAGGUGUUUGCUUUUUUGGGAUUAAAGUAAUGAAAGCUUCAUUGAGAUUUUACAAAAGAGCAGUUCCUGCAUGAAAUUCCUUCACCAACCUAAUGAAAUCACUGGAUAUGAUAGACCAGCAUUUUUUUAUAAAAAGGCCAUUAAAACCAUCUGGCCCUGGUGCCUUAUCAAUGAGCAUUUCUUUGAUUACCUUUUCAAUUUCUUGUAGCUGAAAUGGUUUUGUGAGCACCUCAAGAUCCUGCACUUUUGGGAUAAGUGAGAGAAUGUCAUUGCCCAAUAGAAUUGGCUUAACAGUUCCCAUUCUGCCCUUGAAAGCAUCCAAAAAUUCCUUAACUAUUUCCCCAUGAUCUGAAGAAACUGUUCCAUCAGAUAGUUGCAGCCUAGCAAUAGAAUUCUUCCUAUACCUCUCUCUUGCCAUGGCCUGGAAGAAUUUUGAAUUUUCUUUUCCCACCUUAAUAUACCUGAUAGUGCACCUUUUCCUCCAGUAUAAAAACUACAAGUGUAAAAGGUGCUCAUGAUGCAUCUUAACUAUCUUCCUGAAGUUGUAUUCAGGUAUGGAUAGAGGCCUCCAAUCCUCCAAAUCAUCCAGCCACAGAAUUACCCAAUUGCACUUUUCAAUCAAUGAUUUGAUAUGUGAUAGCCCCUUCUGCCAUUUUUUGAGUGCAAACCUCAAGGAUUUCAAUUUGUCCAUAAUAACUGCAGUUAUAUGAAUCUUAUAUGAAGGUUUGUUCCAAACCUCACCUACACAGUCCAUGAACCCAGGUUGAUGCACCCAAUAGUUUUCAAAUCUAAAGAUAUGAGCUUUUGGAAUUGAGGUGCAGAUAGAUAUUACACAAGGAAAAUGAUCAUAUGUAGUUCUAGCAAGAGGUGCAACUUGUGUCAUGGGAUACUGAUUUAUCCAACUGGCAGAAGUAAAAAACCAGUCCAAUUGCUCAAGAAGUGGAACAUCCUGCAUGUUUGACUAGGUGAAUCUUCUACCUUUUAAAGGAAGUUCCAGCAAUCCUAAGUGACCAAUGAUCUCAUUAAAGAUAAAAAUGUCAUUAACAUCCCCAACAGGAAGAUUACGAUUGUCCAUGGACCUAAUGAAAUUAAAAUCUCCCAAUAACAACCAUUUUUGCUCGGGUUCCACCUGAAGAUUGUAUAGCUAGUUAACAAACUCAUCCCUCAUUAUACCCUCACAAGGCCCAUAAACAUUUACUAAAAACCAUUGGUCACUAUUAUGCACCAAAGUGAAACUGAUGACAAUUCCAAAAGGCUUUACUUCAAUUAAGACACCCUUAAAAACAUCUGAACGCCACACUGUCAGAAUACCUCCCGAGGCUCCUCCCGAGGGUGAUUCAAUGAACUGGUCAAAACCCACAGGGUAAAUGCUCUUAAUUAAUGAAUGAGGAUAAUCUGAUAACUUAGUUUCUUGCAAACAAGCAACCGCACACUAACUUUCAGUAAUUUUCUUUCUAACGGAACGCUGUCAUGUUUCAGAGUUGAGACCACAAACAUUCCAACAAAGCACCUUCCAGUUAUGCAUAGACAUUUGAUUCAUGAGAUAACCAAAAGCAAAGUAGCAAAAACUGCAUGACAUACAAUGACAUACACCCCACGUCAUAGGAAACAAAAUGCAUCCAGUUCUGACCACACAACAUAAAGUUUAGCACAACAUAAACGACAGCAAAUUUAACAGGCUCGCUACACCUAGAUAAAGUUUGAAAAUGCAACAUUUAAACACCACUAGAGGAGGAGGAGUCUUUGGGAUUAGCCAUAAGCUUAUCCUUGGAUAGCAGGUUCGGGUCGAUCUCCAGCUCUGCUCCAAUUGUUUGCAGCACGUUGGGAGGCGUGGAUGGAGGGACAUCUUCAGACUUGCCAUUAUCAGCGUCGUCAGGAUUGGACUGGGCCUUCACUUGAAUGGGCUUGGACCGGGGACGCCUUUUAGUGGGAUGGAGGGAAAGUUGUUCAAAACUCACAGGCUUGAACCCAUCCAGUUUUGCCGCGCUUCUCGUACAUCUCCGUACAGAAGUAUCCACUAAAGGAGCCACGGUCUUCCUUCCUCUUGUCUGUUUCUUCUCCUUGGCCUGCGCAGAAGAAAAAACCACAAAAGAGGAAAAAGAGUUCUCCUCUAGGCUGCUAGACACAAUAUCUUCAGAGAACUCCUGUCCAGCCAUGGCAAAUUCAGACACUGCAUUAUCAUUUGCAUUGGCAACCUCAUCAGGUGAACCUCCAAAAAGAGCUCUGACAACUGGGCGUUUAGCCACAAUAGAUUUCCUUAGAGCAAGGUUGCUGGGCAAGCUUGGCACCAAUGAAGACAUCAUCUGAGAAUCAUCAAAGGCAAUGGUCCACGUGCGCUUGGAGUAUGUCACUGUCCCAAGUGGCUUAAAGAAGAUAGGUCUAGGCACCUCCGUGACAGCAAAUUCAGGUAGCAGAUUUUCAAACGAUCUCUUCCAGAUCAUCUCUAGAGGAAGCGGUGGCCCAGCCACAAUCCUUGCCAUGCCAAUGAAGAUCUGAUGCUGCUGAAUGACAGGAGGUUGAUAUGGUACAAUUGCCAAAGGAUUUCCCAAAACUGUCGGCUGCUCAUUGUCCUGUAACUGUUGGUCAAGCUGAAACUGAAGUUGCUCCUCAAACUGAACCUCCACAUGUUGUUCAACAGACCCAGAACCCUCAGGCUGAUCAAUCACAAUAGAGACCUGAUCCUGCUCUCACACCACAGGCUGUGGCGGCUGCUGAAGCUCAUCCCCAUUGUCCCCCCAGUUGGCAUUUCCCCAUCCAGCAUCCCUAAUGUUAUUUUCCGGAGGCAAUGAAGGGGCUACAGGUGCAUCGUUCCAUCCCAGCAUUGGAUAUGGUGGAAGAACAAACAUCAGAUUGUCUUGCAGCAGGUUUCCAGGCAAUGGGUGAGGAUUACCAUCCAGAGGCAUUGGAUCUUCAUCAUUUGGCAUCUGGUCAGCGAAGUCAGCGUCCAAUACAUAGCAAGCAGCGGUCCACGAGACCUGAGCUCCUCCCCAUUCUGCAUAGUCUCCAAAGACCACAUCACGUGGCACCAAAGGUGUGUCCGGAAAACUUGCCUCUACUAAAGUAUGAACCAAAUAUGGAUCCUCACUAUCCCAAGAGUGAAAUUUCCUAAAGGUGCCUACCGCCUGUGAUAUGAACUCCGUAUUGUGAUAGUCAAGAGGAAUACCAAUGAACAUGAGCCAACCCUUACGGAACCCAUGAUUCCCCUUAAAAUUCUCUCCCUCAUCAUGCUUCAUAAAUCUAACAAAACGAUCAUCACCCAUAGGAAAUGGGGCAUGCUGAAUCAACGUAUAUCUGACAGAUGGAUCCCUGACUUGAAAUAACCCAACCCCAUGGAACCAAGGUUGAGCAGAGCGAACCAGAGUACCUCUGUUCUGAAGGAACUAAACAAUCUCUUCCCUGACCGGCCCGAGCGGUCCCUCCGGAGCAGGCAUGACCUCAGCGACCAUGUAAUCCUCAUGGCGGCGAGGAGGACGAGCCGCAGGCAUGAUGAAGGUGCGUGGAAGCCGCCUGUCCCCACCAUCAAUGAUGUGAUGGCCUACCGGCAGGAAGCGCUGUGGAUCAAGCUCAAAGUUUGCCAUGGUCGAAAGCUGUGGGGAGGGGAUGGGGUUUUCUUUGGGAAGAAGAGGGGGAUUGGCACAAUGUGGGCAGCGAUGAUGUGACUGGGCAAGCUAUCCCUAUAACUCCGGCACCGUUCCCUGGUCGGCAGGGUUUUCCGAUAUACUCGUGCUUUGUUACGGAGAAAUUGGUCUCCAAGCCAAUCCAUUGGUGCGCGUGAAAUCAUUACAAUCCUUGCUAGAGUGACCCAUGCGUGAGCAAGCCGAGCAGACCGCUCGCAUUCCAGAAGAGGCUGGAAGGUGGCCCCUAUGAGAACACAAGGUACGGGUUAAAAUACGGUCCACCAUGUCAUUGACCAUAGCUUCAAAUUGUUGUGCGGCUUCUUGCGUGGUGGGUAUUUCCUGCGGAGGGGUUGGUGGGCUUGGGUCAGUAGGUGCAUCCAGCAUCUCAGAAACUGGGGUAUUCUGAGAUGAGGCAGGCCCAAUAACAACCGAACCAGGGACUGGCCAAACAGAAAAAUCUUGAGACACUGGACCAGAUUGGAGUGCCUCCGAAUGUGAUGGGCCAGAUCCCAAGCUAUCAUUUUGAACUGGAGAAAUUCCCGCUUUAGCAAAUUGUGCAGCAAGAUUACCAGAAACCACGGGCCUCGGAUCCAUAGGUACCAGAUCCAGUGUGGGCGACGUGGUCGACCGGUGCAACUCCGGUAACGGCUCAACAGUACCAAACACGAUAGGUGGCCGAGCCACCGUCCAAUGCAAGUCAAGGGGGGAACUUGUCGAAUAAUAACACGCUCAUGAGCAGAUAGAUCAUAUCCCCCAUCCAUAAUAGUAUCAAUGCAAUUUUGAGAAGCAGGAUAUCUAUAACCUUUGCAAGCAGAAUACUGUUCAAACGUGGCAAAAGACAAUUUCUUCCGAACAGUGGUAGCUGACUUUAGAGAAUAUCUAACCGGAGGCUUAUGCAUGGCCAAUAGACCUAAAGAAGAUCUACGUUUAGUAGGACUAAUCAGAAUCCACUCAGCAUCGCAUUCCUUACGCCAGAUCUUAAGUUCCUGAACCCAAUUAGGCCCUCCAUUGCCCCAAAGAUUGAAAUAACAUUUGAACAGAUCACAAGCAAAUGAACGCAUAUCCAUACUAAUAAAGCCAACUUGCUUGCAUGAGACUUGGAAAGAAAAAAACUUGUCUUUGACAUUAAGAACCCGAAGAUCGAUGGCCGAUCUACCAAUCGCAGUCUCUAGAGCUGCCGCCACCGAAUCCUCCGACAACCAGAAAGCAUGGCGGCUGUAAGUGCAUCUAGUGCCACCCCUAGUUGGUUUUGGAGUAUUGACGACAAACCUAGUUGAGGGACUAAUGUGUUUGUGAGAAUUGCAGGAUAACACAGGUAGAAGUCCCUCAUUGAUUCAGUUUUCCUACCAGAGAUGACCCCUAAAAAUGUAAGAAGACAUUGAAGACAAAGGUGGUAUGUGAAGACAUUCACAUUGAAGACUAUGACAAGAGAAGACAUCGCAUGAAGACUAUGGAGCGCGAAGACUUAGUUCUUUCGUCAUUCUUUUUCUUCUUUGUUGAGUCAUAGGAACCACCGUACUGUUAAGUGGGGUCCAAGAGAACCAGUCAGAAUGACUGAAGUGAUGCUUAACCAAAAUCCUAUGUCUUCGAGUGAAGACUAUGAGAGCAAAUCUUGUCCAGAGUUGGAUAAGUCAGCUUUGCUUGUAGCCCAAGUAAAGUUGACGUGUGUGUUUGAAAUCUGACCGUUGGAACACGUGUCAGUUCCUUAGUGACCCAGGGUCAUUUCGGACAAAUCAGGUCGGGUUGCCUAGUGGCUACAAAUAGCCCACCCCCUACAACCAUAAACGGCUGGCUUCUCAGAGUUAGAGUAUGGCUUUUGUCGUUUGAGAGCAACCCACCUCGAAGCCUUUGAGGGAGAAUUCCUUGCGAGGAUAAAGCCCUAAACACCCAGAGCCAAAGAGUGUUAGGCAUCACUUAAGUCUUCCUGUCCAUGUGAUCUGAAGACUUAUUACACUUGAGGACUGUGAAUCCUCCAGCCGGUUAGGCGUCGCGUUCUGAGCAUCCAAGAGUCAUUGUGGAUCGCCGGUGAACGAAGUCUGUGAAGGUUUGGAAGUCUACCUUGAAGACUUACCAGAGUGAUUGGGCGAGGACUGGGUGUCCUUAGCUCAAGGGGAAUAAGGUGAAGACGAGGUCUUCUGAGUUGAAUCUCAGCCUCCCUAACCAGACGUACAGUUGUCACAACAACUAGAACUGGUCCAACAAAUCAUUGUCUUCAACAAGUCACUGGUUUCAUCCUUCCCUUCCCUUUGCUUACUGUUGGUCCUUGUGAAGUCAUUGUAUGAUUGCAUUAUCUUUUAUCUUCAGUGAGUUACUACUUGUUCUGAUUGGCUUCACAAUAUCUUCCUACCUGAUCUUUACUGCCUAGCUGCUAUUAGUCAUUAUGCUUUCACUUCAUUGAAUACUUGACUAUGGUUUGCCUAGUGUAGUCUACCUUCCGCUGUAUGGUAAUAGGUUUAUUUCUAUCGUUUGUCUUCAAAACUUCCAUGUUUUGAAGACUUUCAUAAAAAUCACCUAUUCACCCCCCCCCCCUCUAGUCGAUCACUAGCACUUUCAAUUGGUAUCAGAGCAAGGUACUCCCUUGUUCUAUGUGAUUCGGUUUAACCACCUGGAGUUUUAGCUAUGUCGACUGCAGGGAUAAUUAAGGUCUCCACUGCUUGCCCCGUCUUCGAUGGAACUGAAUAUCCCUACUGGAAGAAUAAGAUGCGCAUGCAUCUUGAAGCCAUUGAUGUCGACCUAUGGUAUGUCGUCAAGAAUGGCGUUCCCAAGGCUGGUGAAGGUGUCACCGCUGCUGAUGUCAAGAAGUUCGUUCAACUGGACUCCACUGCCAAGAACAUCAUCUGUGGUCAUCUGACCAAAGGACAGUAUGGCUUCAUGAGUGCUUUGGAAACAUCUAAGCUAGUCUGGGACUGGCUCUCCAAGGUCAAUGAAGGCGUCUCAAUCCAAAGAGAUCAGAGAAUCAGUGUCCUUCGCAACCUCUUCAACCGCUUCAAGAGAAAUGACAAUGAGAACGUCCAGCUCACGUUUGAUUGACUCACUGACAUCACAAAUGAGCUUCAAGCUCUCGGCGCCACUGAGAUCACCAAGCAUGAAGUCGUCAAGACACUCCUGAGAUCACUUGAUAGCUCGUUUGACACCCUAGCCCUGAUGAUUCAAGAACGUCCUAAUUUCAAGACACUCGAUCUGUCUGACAUACUUGAGAGGCUCAACACACAUGAGUUUCAGCUUUCUGAGAAAAGAGACAUCUACGGUCCCAACUAUGGGCGAACUCGUGCCUUGAAGGCAAAAGUUGUCUCCUCAUCUGAAGAAGAAUCUGACAGCAGUUCUGAUGAUCCUGAAGACAUUGGAAAGGAGCUUGCUAUGCUUGUGAAGAAGUUCCAAAAAUUCACCAAGAAGAAAGGCUUAAGAAAGUCUUCACGAUCAAGCUCAAGGAAUGAUGAAGCUUCUGCUCAUGACUACAAGAAGAGAACAUGCCACAAGUGCAAGAAACCUGGCCACUACAUCUCUGAGUGUCCGCAGUGGGACAAUGAGAACAAGAAGAAGAAGAAGAGCAAGGAAUAUGACUCUGACGACAAGAAGAAGAAGAAAUACUCAAAGUCUUCUUCCAAGUUUUUCUCAAAGUCUUCAUCACACAACAAGAGCUCAUCUGGCAAGGCACGUGCGUUUGUUGGCAAGGAAAUGGAUUCAGAGGAGGAGUCCGCUUCUGAGGAGGCGGAGGUGGAGUCUGAGGAGGAGUCCGAUUCUGGCAUUGCAAGUGUGGCUACAGCAUACGUUGCCAAGUCCAUCUUCAACACUGAAGACAAUGACUUCAUCACCGACACCGAUGCAAAUGACAAGGACUACUCCGCUCCUACCUACUGCUUCAUGGCACGCGGUGCCAAGGUAAACACACGCACUACUCACUAUCAAACAUCUAGUGAAGAUGACUCUGAUUGUGGUUCAAAACCCAGCUACAAAACACUUGCUAAAAUUGCAACUGAACAACAAAAAGCUAUGGAACCUGAAUGGAUUCAAGCUAUGCAAGAAGAGCUUCAACAGUUUGAGCUGAAUAAUGUAUGGGAACUGGUUAAGCGUCCUGAUCCUCGCAAGCACAAUAUAAUAGGCACCAAAUGGAUAUAUCACAACAAGCAAGAUGAGUAUGGUCAAGUUGUUAGAAACAAAGCUUGUCUUGUUGCUCAAGGGUACACUCAAGUUGAAGGGAUUGACUUCGAUGAAACAUUUGCUCCUGUGGCUAGACUUGAAGCCAUACGCAUACUGCUGGCCUAUGCAAAUCAUCAUAACAUUCCUCUCUAUCAAAUGGAUGUGAAGAGCGCUUUUCUCGAUGGCAAGAUUGACGAAGAAGUGUAUGUUGCACAACCGCCUGGCUUUGAAGAUCCAAAACAUCCUGACAUGGUGUACAAGGUCAACAAGGCGCUGUAUGGCCUCAAACAAGCCCCUCGGGCUUGGUAUGACACACUCAAAUACUUCCUGAAGAGCAAAGGCUUCAAACCUGGUUCCCUCGACCCCACUCUCUUCACGAAGACAUAUGAUGGUGAACUGUUUGUGUGCCAAAUAUAUGUGGAUGACAUUAUCUUCGGCUGCACCAAUCAUAAAUACACAGAUGAGUUUGGAUAUAUGAUGCAAGAGCAAUAUCAGAUGUCCAUGAUGGGUGAGUUGAAGUUCUUCCUUGGUCUUCAAAUACGUCAGCAACGCAACGGCAUCUUCAUAUCUCAAGAGAAGUACCUUAAAGAUUGCCUGAAGAAAUUUGGGAUGCAAGACUGCAAAGGCUUCACGACUCCAAUGCCAGGCAAACAUCAUCUGGGUCCCGACGACAAUGGUAAAGAGUUCGAUCAAAAGGUAUACCGCUCCAUGAUUGGUUCUUUACUUUAUCUAUGUGCAUCUAGGCCAGAUAUUAUGCUUAGUGUUUGCAUGUGUGCUCGAUUUCAAGCGGCACCAAAGGAAUCGCAUCACUUAGCUGUGAAGCGAAUUCUUCGAUAUUUGGCUCACACCCCAACAUUAGGAUUAUGGUAUCAAAAGGGCUCAGAGUUUGAUCUGGUUGGAUUCUCGGAUGCUGAUUAUGCUGGUGACAAGGUGGAUCGCAAGUCUACAUCAGGCACAUGUCAUUUUCUGGGACGAUCACUUGUAUGUUGGUCUUUAAAGAAGCAGAACUGUGUAUCUCUCUCCACUGCUGAAUCUGAAUACAUUGCUGCUGGAUCUUGCUGCGCUCAGCUACUAUGGAUGAAGCAAACACUCAAAGAUUAUGGCAUUCAUCUGAAGCAAGUGCCACUCUACUGCGACAACGAAAGCGCUAUCAAGAUUGCCAACAACCUAGUUCAGCACUCGAAGACAAAGCACAUUGAAAUUCGUCAUCACUUUCUCAGAGAUCAUGUUGUGCAGGAAGAUAUUGAUAUCAUACACGUCAACACUGAAGAGCAAUUGGCAGAUAUCUUCACCAAGCCCUUGGUUGAGAAGAGGUUUUGCAAGUUACGGUGUGAGCUAAAUAUCUUGGAAUCCUCAAAUGUUCUGUGAUCGGGCACACAUCCUAACACUUAUGCAUAUUGAUGACUUAGAUGUGCAACACACGAAGUAAAGUAUAUCUUCAAUCAAUGAAGACUUACAUUCUAAGUGUGAAUACAUUAAUGUGGAACUUGACUUCGGAGCGCCACGAUAAUUGUGCGCCGUGUCUGAGUCUAAUACUUCCUAUACGGUGGGUAACGCCACCACCAAAAUUUUCUGUUUGAAGUGUUUCACUCAUGGCGUUACGUUUGGUAUGUCUUCACAUUUGGUUUGGCUUCAAUAUCAACUUUUCUUCAUGAUCAUCUUCACUAUGUUGAUUUUAUUGUCUUUCUCAUCUAUAUAUAUAUACACUAGUGUUCUGUCCUCUACAACAUUCACUUAUAGCUAUGUCUUCUUGUUGAAUCUUUUGAACUAAGUGAAUGUGAUCAGACCCUAACCUCUCUAUGCUUUCUAUAUCAAACUCUAUCUCUCCAAAUCAUAUGCAUUCUAUUGAAACUGUCGAAUAUCUUCUCUGCGUCCUUGUCAGCAGAAGAUACAGAGACAAACAUUAAGUCCGUUUUCAAUGCUAAUUCCUUCACCUGAAACCCGAAGAAGUGGGAACGACCACCCGACAAUCCAGGCGUGCGUGGGAACGUGGAACAACCUCCGAUAAGUUGCAUGAUGGCCACGUGUCCUUCAGAUGUGAAUCGCCAGGGGCACCUGUGUAAUAACACUGUGCCGUCCCUGUCUCUAUAAAUACACGCCUCACCACAGUCAUUAUCCUUUCUUCCACUCUCGCAUGAACCCUAGCGCCACCGCUCGCCCUCGACGACACCAGCGACGAAGCUCUUAGUUGCCGCGACCUCACCGACGUCGUCUUCGCGCCGGCCGCGGACAUCGUCUUGCCGUCGCCGUAGGAGUCCUCCGUCGCCAAGUUAGGGCACGGACGAUCGAUCUGCUCGGCCUCCUCUCCCACUCCGUCUAGCAGUUCUUCAUGUGGUAAAUAAAACUUCCUUUUUACGGCCCCUUUGAUUCUAUAGAUCCAUCACUUUCUACCACAAGCAGUUUCUGUUCACACAAGUUGGAUCUAUUUCAUACUGCAUCUCAUAAUAUUCCUAGUAUGUUCACUUAUGCUUCACAAAGUAGUUAGAUUCCUCACUUGUACUUAUUCAUGGAUUCGUACAAAUCUGGAACCAACUCUCUAUCUAUGAGUGAAUGUCUUCGCACUAUGAGGUCAAUGUCUUCUAAACUGAUUUAUCUUCAAAAUCUUCUGAGAAUGCAUAUGACCUCUUCCCCUUCCUUCGCACCUUAAUUCUGUCAUAGGUACAUGUCCGUGGGAGAAUCCCUUGGUUCUCAUAGUCUGCAUUCAUUUGCAGAAUUCUUACAACAUCAUAUAAAUUCUCCCGAAGCCAGUUCUUGUUUGACCAGCAAGUGGAAGCCUUUGAAACCUUUGAACAUGUUGAAGCCAUUCAGUUUGAAGAUCAUGGCUACAGAGAAAUCAGCAAGGAAGGGUGGCCGACAGCGUCGAGGGGGAACAUCAAGAGAUCUGCCUGAUGACCUCUCAGAGCUGUACAAGACAGACCCAGAAGAGGAUUACAAUCAGCGCAAGACAUGAAUCCAAUGGAUUCGAAGGUACUGGGCUGAGCAAUGGUUCAAGUACAGGUUUGUGACCCAGGAAUAUGCAGAGAAGAAUGCCAUCAAGCGACCAUGGGGAGACAUCCUAUACAGAAAUCUUCAACCCAGGCCCAGAGAUGAAGCCGUUGAACAAGACUUCUAUCCCUGCAUGGUCCAUGGACCACAGCCUGCAGAUGCUGAUCCAUCAUCAUUGCUAUGGUGUCGUGAUGACAAUCUGUUCAAGCGCAACUUCCAGUUUGCCAAGAACUUGGCUAAGCAAAACAAGAAGACAUUGGGACUAGACUUCAACCCUGGUCCUUCUGCUCCCUGUGCCGAUGGCACCCGCGAAGCUGAACCCAAUCUUGUUGGGGCCUUCUACAACCUGGAAGGUCUCAUCACUCAUAUCAUGGUUCAAGGGACAGCCGUGGAUGAGCCUGCAGAUGACGCUAAAUCUGAUGAAGCGCCUGCAUCGCCGAAGCCAAAGAAACUGAAGAAGCCUAAAGCUUCAAAGCCUGCUCCUGCACCAAAGGUCUUACAUGCGAAGCCACUGGCUACUGCACCUCCUGAAGACAGUGUGCAGUCUGAAGAUCUAUCACGUAUCUCCAAGAAGACUGAGAUGAGAAAGAGUACUGAUCAGGCACUGACUGAUGCUGCUAUUCUGCGCAAUGACGCCAUUGAUCUUUCCAGUGAUAAAGAUCUUGUAGAUGACGCUCUUGAGCAACUAAUCAAAAGCAAGGAAGAAGCAGAGAUCUUCAAUGAUUUGCCUCUCUUUGAUGUGGCAAUCCUCCAUAACUUCAUUGAUGAGUGGUUUGACACGCCCAACCUCAUCUUUGAAGAUCUGCAACUUCCAAUUGGCCUUAGUGUCGCCUUCCAUGGCGCCAUUGCUUCUGAGCUAUCUCUAGCUCAGCGCAUCGUUGAACUGAAGCAAAAGAUCGACUAUGAGAAAGAUCAGUUCAAUAAGCACAUGACCAAGCUCAGCGUGCAAGAUGUGAAAAACUUCAAGAUUAUGCUGCACGAGCUCAAGGAUUUUUUCUCAAAAAGCGUGAAGAAGCUCAAGGUUCUCGUGAACGCAUGAAGAGCCUGGCUGACAAGUGUGUGCAAGCCUACAAUGAGGCUGAGAAGCGCAAGGCUCUUGGUCGUCCUGGCAUCGACCCAAGAAUGGCUGCAAAGAAGAAGAAGCCCUCAACUGACCAAUCUGCACCUUCAAGGCAGGAAGAACCUCGCAUAGUCUUCCCAAGCAGCAUGACUGGCUCGAAGCCAAAGGUCAGGUCAACCGCUUCAGAACUGAAGAAGACGAGGACUGUCGAGGCUGAAGCCAGAAAAAGGAAAAAUCCUGAAGCUUCUGAUGUCGCUCCCUCUAAGAAGAAGCGCAAAACCAAGAAGGAUCGGGCUGCUCCCAUAGAGCCCUUAGUUGUUGAACCUAUCUCAAUGGUUCGCCCUGCAUCUGAACACCACGAGCGCCAACUGAUUGUUCAUGAGCCUGCUUCCACAGAGGCUCCUGAUGCUGAAGACAUUCCAGCAGUUGACCCCACCGCUACUGAAGACAUUGGUCACCAUGACAAUGUUGAAGAUGAUGAAGUCCUUCCUCAGAUCGAGCACCAACUGGUAUCAUCGCAUGUGCUUACACACAGCGAACUCGUCAGCAUUGGUCGUCCUCUGACGCCAACUGCUCAGGAUGCAUCAUGGGCUGAUCACCCACAGAGACAAGACACUCCAAGCUCUCCCCAAGCAACCCCAUCAGUGCAAGAAGAGGAUGACUUUGAGGCCCAGCCAACUUCAUCUCCACAGGCGUCGCCAGCGCUACGCAGGCUUCGCAAAGGACCAAGGUCUAGUCCCUCUUCCAAGCGUUCCAGAAGGAGAAGUGCACCACCAAUUUAUUGCACGUCAAGUGUUUCCAGAUGCCACUCCUACUGUGACUGUCUCUGAGUCUGAAGCCAAAGGUGCUGAAGACAAUCCGGCUGCAUCAGCCGAUGACAAACAAGAAGAAGAUCGUGUCCCUACACCCCCAAACUCUGAAGAAGUUGUUCCUGAAGUGAACGUGUCUGUGCCCGACCCUCCAGCUCAUCAAGUGGAGGUUGAGAAUCUUGAGGCUGCCACCACCAACACAAAUGAAGUCAAUGACAUAGUCAUGGCUGAAGCAAAUGUGGAGCCUGCACCAACCAAUGUGCCAGAGGCCAAUGAAGGCAAUGAUGCAACUGCAACAGAUGUGCAGCCUGACGCCUCUGUUGAUGCCACUGCUCCUGUUCCACCACCAAGGCCACACACUAUCGAGCAAGCAUUCAACUAUGGCCAACUUGUCACUGUCAAAUGGCCUUUUCUGACUCCUCCACCUACUGCUGGUCCUCAGUUUGACUAUCACAUUGAGCACAGGCCUCAGGUUCAGAAGCCAAUACCAAGGUUGCCCAGGUUUCUAGGCACUGCAUCUGCACCUGGAUCGUUCAAUAUCAAUGGCUUCAAGGCACACAACACCUUCUUUAAUAGCGCCAAGAACCCCUACACCAAGGCAAGAAUAUCUUCUGAUCGGUUCUGGAGUUAUCAGCAGCGCAGUUAUUACUCAUGCAUUCUGUACAAUCAAGGUCGCAUUUUCCCACAUAUGCGUCUUGACACUGAAGCCAUAACUGGACUACCCUGUUUGGAAGAAGCUCUGGAUUGCUUCAGAGAGUCAGGCUUGCUGCAGUUCGUCACUGAUAAGGAGCACUGGAAUGAAGAAUUGAUGCUCCAAUUCUAUGCCACUCUUCAUAUUCAUGGCUACAACAGGGAUCCGAAGACUUGGGUCCUUGAGUGGAUGACAGGCAAUGUUCAUCAUGAAGCCAAAGCCUUUGAUAUCAUUGAGCUUAUUGGCCUGCCCACUCCAGGAGAUUUGUGUGAACCUGGUUGUCAGCUUCACAGUGCUGCUAUGGAAAGCAUCUUCCACAAGCCUGAGCCUAAUAUGAGUCAGAUGCUUAGCAUGAUGAAGCCUUUGCCUCCAGAUGCUGAAUAUCCUAAGGAGUUCUAUGUUGAAGACCUUGAGUAUCUGCCACGUACUAUCUAUCACAUCAUAAGGCGAACUCUCUGGCCCAUCAAAGGACAUUCUCCACAUGCCAAGCUAGAAGGCGCAAUGAAGACGUUGGUCUUUCAUAUUCUUCAUGGCAAAAGCUUCAAUGCACAAGACUUCUUUAUUCGCCAGCUUGCUGCAUCAGGAUCUAACAUUUUUGGCUUGAAGUUUUACGCUCCAUGGAUAAUGUGACUGAUCAAACUACACUCAGCUGUCACCUAUCAGCCCUCUGCUCGCAAUCAUCGGAUCUUUCUGCCUGACGUCGAUAUGUCAGUUGAAGUCAUCUAUCCAGAGCCUGCCAAGGAGCCUCUUAGUCUUCAGAAUGCUGAGAAUCAAAGCUUCUCUCAAAACAUUGAAGGAGUUCAAGCAGUCUCUCGUGUUUAUCCUCUGGCUGGCACUACACGUGCACCUCACCGUGCCCUCACUGAAGCCACUGACAGCACCAUUGCCCAACGGCCCAAGAAGCGAUCCUGUAUUCUCAAUGACCGAGAGCUUCUGGUUGCCCUUCAUCAGAAACAGGAUAGGCAUCAUGACUGGCUGAAGCGCCAAAUGCAAAGCCUCUUGGUGGAUGUAAACAGGAUUCGCAAUCUUGCCACCAAGAAUGCCUUUGUUUCCCAUGAAACCUGUCGGCGUACAUGGAAAGGCCUGACGCUUAUGUGCUCUGAGAAUGAUCUUCAAGAGGAUGGCUUCUCUGAACGCUUCAAGUUUGACUCAACACCUCCAAGAAGGAUUGUGCUGCGAUGAACUCCAUCUCUUGAAGACUCUGAGUUCUCUUCCUACGCGGCAACUGUGAAUGCCAAAGUGAUCGAUGACGAAGACGAUGCUACUUCACUGCCCCCUACUUCUGCACGCAUUGACACUGCCCCGAGUUCGUCUGCACCGCCUAACAACACCGACGACCUUGCUGCUUCACCUACUCCUCAUGGGAAUGAGUAGAUGCUCUAUGUCUUCAAACCUUUUUGGUCCUUACUGACAAAAGGGGGAGAAGCAUAUGAGUUUGAUAGUCUUCAAGCGGGUCCAUAUGGGCGGUUGCUUUAUAUUUUGCCUAGUGUUUACAACUCUCGUUUUGAUACAUUUGGUUCUUUGAGUUGUAACACUUAAACUCGAUGGUCGUCUGCUACUUAUUUGCUAUUUUGUGAUGCGAUGAUAAAUUCCGCAUGUGCGACGAUAAAUUCUGCACUUAGAUCCUUUUGCAGAUGUCCAUUUUUCAUUAUGCAUGUCAUUAUCUUCACAUACUUUUCAUGCAUGAUGAAUUGUCAUCAUAAGUUGAAGAGGAUCUCCACAAGUACAACCUGCCAUGUGCAUUUGCAUUCCAAAAGCAAAUUACUUAUAUGCACAUCUUCAGGGGGAGCCCGUGCAACUUAUGAAGACAAUCCCCUAUCCUUUACAAUUUCACAUAUUAUAUUCCCCGUUGAAAACUUCAACUAGUUUGUCAUCAAUCACCAAAAAGGGGGAGAUUGUAAGUGCAUCUAGUGCCACCCCUAGUUGGUUUCGGAGUAUUGACGACAAACCUAGUUGAGGGACUAAUGUGUUUGUGAGAAUUGCAGGAUAACACAAGUAGAAGUCCCUCAUUGAUUCGGUUUUCCUACCAGAGAUGACCCCUAAAAAUGUAAGAAGACAUUGAAGACAAAGAUGGUAUGUGAAGACAUUCACAUUGAAGACUAUGACAAGAGAAGACAUCGUAUGAAGACUAUGGAGCGCGAAGACUUAGUUCUUUCGUCGUUCUUUUUCUUCUUUGUUGAGUCAUAGGAACUACCGUACUAUUAAGUGGGGUCCAAGAGAACCAGUCAGAAUGACUGAAGUGAUGCUUAACCAAAAUCCUAUGUCUUCGAGUGAAGACUAUGAGAGCAAAUCUUGUCCAGAGUUGGAUAAGUCAGCUUUACUUGUAGCCCAAGUAAAGUUGCUGUGUGUGUUUGAAAUCUGACCGUUGGAACACGUGUCAGUUCCUUAGUGACCCAGGGUCAUUUCGGACAAAUCAGGUCGGGUUGCCUAGUGGCUAUAAAUAGCCCACCCCCUACAACCAUAAACGGCUGGCUGCUCAGAGUUAGAGUACGGCUUUUGUCGUUUGAGAGCACCCCACCUCGAAGCCUUUGAGAGAGAAUUCCUUGCGAGGAUAAAGCCCUAAACACCCAGAGCCAAAGAGUGUUAGGCAUCACUUAAAUCUUCCUGUCUGUGUGAUCUGAAGACUUAUUACACUUGAGGACUGUGAAUCCUCCAGCCGGUUAGGCGUCGCGUUCUAAGCAUCCAAGAGUCAUUGCGGAUCGCCGGUGAACAAAGUCUGUGAAGGUUUGGAAGUCUACCUUGAAGACUUACCAGAGUGAUUGGGCGAGGACUGGGUGUCCUUAGCUCAAGGGGAAUAAGGUGAAGACGAGGUCUUCUGAGUUGAAUCUCAGCCUCCCUAACCAGACGUACAGUUGUCACAGCAACUGGAACUGGUCCAACAAAUCAUUGUCUUCAACAAGUCACUGGUUUCAUCCUUCCCUUCCCUUUGCUUACUGUUGGUCCUUGUGAAGUCAUUGUAUGAUUGCAUUAUCUUUUGUCUUCACUGAGUGACGACUUGUUCUGAUUGGCUUCACAAUAUCUUCCUACCUGAUCUUUACUGCCUAGCUGCUAUUAGUCAUUAUGCUUUCACUUCAUUGAAUACUUGACUAUGGUUUGCCUAGUGUAGUCUACCUUUCGCUGUAUGGUAAUAGGUUUAUUUCUAUCGUUUGUCUUUGAAACUUCCAUGUUUUGAAGACUUUCAUAAAAAUUGCCUAUUCACCCUCCCCCCUCUAGUCGAUCACUAGCACUUUCAGCGGCUAAAGGACACAAUCAAUGUGAAAUCCCUCCUUCAUCACAUUGGAUGGAUCGUUUGGCCGGUAGAUCUAAAAACCUCAUCAGAAAAAACCCUACCCUUGGAGAAGUCCAAGCCAAGGGUAGAUCCACCAUAGGAACCCAUAAGAGAUGGGUAUUGCCUUGAUCCAGAGGAGACGCCGGAGAGGAUGAUCGAAAGGGAUCCACAUAUUAGUGGAGGAGGAUGGCGAUCGCCGGUGGUGAGGUCAGCGCUGUGGUGGGAGGUGGGAACAUCAUGACUUCUCCUUUUGACAUCUUACUUCAUCCUCCAUGUGUUGUAUGAGAUUUUACUCUUGACGCAAGCUCAUGGAAACAAACCUAACCCCACAUAUAACUCUUAUGUAGACCAUGGGUUAGUACACAAAGCGUAAUGGAUAGUGCUUACCAUACCUCUCGGUACAUCUUGUACGCUUUGUGUGUUGAUCAACUAGAUUCACUCUUUGACUUAGUCUUGAUCAACCUUGUAUCAUGUCUUCUCUAUGACCAAUCUUUGAAUAAUUCCUUGAAUAGCACCUUGGUCAUCACAUAUUCUCCUUGAAACCAACAAAUGGACUUCAAGAAAUGUCUAUGGACAAACCCUUCAAAUAUAGCUUAAGGUAACCAUUAGCCCAUAGAGAUUGUCAUGAAUUACCAAAACCAAACAUAGGGGCACCAUGCUCUUUCGCUAGGCUUCUAAUUAUGAGGACAAGAGUAUUAGCCAAGCUCUAAUUAGUAAACUAGGACCAACUAUAACAUGAACUAGAAGACCUAGAGGUUAGAGGGGAGAGGGAGGGCUGCCACCAAGGAGGGAAACACUCCUUGGGGCGUCCAGCCAAGGGGAGGAGGAGUUGGACUCCUCCCCCACUCCUAUUCACCCUUCUUCCUUAGGGAAGGGGCGCCUCUCCCCACUUGGGCCCUUGUGGCCCAAGUUGCUUUCCACCUCUUGGCCUUUUUAGGCCCGUUGAUAUUAAAUGAAAUAUAAAAUUGACCUAAAUAAUUUCAUACCAUUUUAUAUAUAAUUCAACAUUCCGGAAACAUUUUCCACCUAUAUAUCAUUUAUCGGUAAUACCUGGUAUUACUCGAUAUUCAACGGAACCCUUUCGGUGACCUCGAAACACUUCCGGGUCCUCUUGGAACUACUUUGAAUAUUGAUGUAACAAUUCCACAAAUAUAUUCUCAUCACUCCCAUCCUACUAAAACUCAGCAGAUCAUGAUUGCCUUAAGCUUGUGACCCCGUAGGUUCGGUAACUCAUAGACAUGAAUGAAACCCCUUCGUUCAAUGACCGGCAGCGGUGCUGUGGACGUUCGUAUCAGUGCAUGUGAGCACAUGAAUAAUAUUAGAGUGAACCUUAGACUAUCAUGUGAUGUUCCCUUUCUUCGCGAUACUUUACAAAACCUACUGUGCAUCAGUAUCCUGCUGAGUCAUCACCAUGCUCACUAUACCGUUGCUCCCGUUAGUGGUUCUGUUCUUCUUUUUCGUUGACGUGUUUUGGCAUCCCCGUGAUGUAGUCACAUGUGUCUGGCGAGACGAUGAUGGAUGUUGUCACACCGAGAGGACCCUAAGAAUAUCUCUCUGUCGUCGUAGGAGCAAAUACCACUCUCGAGCUAUUUGGCCACUUGCCAAACUUUCCGAUGAACCUGUAAAUUGUUGUUAUGAUCACCGUGUUACGGGUGACGUUGGAGCAACCCCAAAGCCCACUGUACGGUAGGAAGUGACCACGAUACUUUCAUGGUCUAAGGAGAAAUAUCACACGUUAACACUUCGUGUUAUUACAAUUGAAUGCAGACGAUAUUAACUCAAUUCAUAACAAACAAGAUUGGGUCGAUUCAAUAUGGUCGUUCUUCCAAUGUCAUAAUCUCAAUGUUGUUUUAGGACUAUCAUUACAAUUAACGGUAUCCUAAACCCGCAAAAUGUGAUCACUAACAAUAAUUGAGCUAGUCUUAGAGGCGUGACUAGGAACCUUUUAUUUACUGUUUAUCAUUCCACACGUGCAUAUGAGUUUUCCACUAAAUCGUAUAUUCCAGGAUCAUAGCAGUUAUAGCAUAGAAUAUAAACUCUUAACUAUGAAUAUGGAAAUAUAAUACUUCAUCCGUCCCAAAAUAAGUGUCUCAACUUUAUACUAACUUUAGUACAAAGUUGUACUAGAGUCAAGACAAUUAUUUUGAGACAAAGGGAGUAAUACAAAUAUUAUUACCUCUAGGGCAUAUUUUCAACAGUUAGUCCCAAAAAAAUAUAAUAUUACAUAUAAAACAUCCAAGAUUGAUACUAUAAUAUCAUGGAACAAUCAAAAAUUAUAGGUACAUUGGAGAAGUAUCAGGUUUGCGGGAGUCCGGACACCCGAAACGUAGGACUCCGACACCCCGGCCCACCCAAUCCCCCCUCCUAGUCUCAUUUCCUUCCACUCCGCCCCUUCUCCCCUUACUUUGCAUCUGCACCCUCCACCUCCACCGUCGUUGUUGUUCGUCUCCGGCCGCCACAGAGGCAUUGCCGGACGUCCGCAACCAGCACCGACGCGCCCGCUCACCGUUCCGAUGGAGCUUUCAGCCUAGGAGCCGUUUGUACCCAGGUACACUCCACCCCUGUCGACGACCUCCAUGGCAGACACCACGCCUAGCAGGUGUUCGGUCAAAUGUCAUUGAGCUUAUUUUCAAAUGCUAUGUUGUUUUUAGAGUACGAAGGAUGGUGAGCUACUCGACCAUGGGGGAUGAGUUGCUGUGCAAUGCGUGGCUGGCCGUAUCCACUGAUUUCAUAGUCAGGACCAGGGAGCCGUCCUUCUGGGAGCAGGUGCAUGAAAAGUUUCACGCAGAAAAGCACAUUGCACCCUACGACGUGUACAUUAUGCGACCAUGCAAUGUGAGGUCGUUGUUGUAUCGCUGGCACGCUAUCCAGGUCAACGUCAUCAAGUACUGCAACUUGAUCAGUCAGCUCGAGGCAAGGUGGCCAUUACACACGGGCAUGGAGGAGACGGUAAGUUUUGCUUCCUUUUGCUAUACUUGUUGAUUGAUUCAUUCACUCAAUAUUGGUCUACAUAUUAUAUGUAGCCCGCACGAGCCGUCGUGUUGUACCACAGGUCAGCGGGACGUCCAUUUACGUGCACACACUGCUGGAUGAAGCUGAAGGAAAAGUAUGUGUGGGAGGACAUGAUCUGUUCCUGAAAAACUUGUCGUACAUCCAGGAUCUAAUCGAAUUUGAGAUCUUGUUGUACUAGACUUAAUUUGCAUGCUAUGGGUGGAUGAUUUGUGUUAUUUUUUAUCCGGACUUUGAUGAAUAUCGACCAAUUUGAAUGAAUUUCAUUCCGUUAGUUAAAAUGCGGUCUGAAAUGUAUGCGGCUAGCGUUGGAUGGCUUUCUCCCACAUCCGUGUCCGCGGACUGGUGUCCCAUUGUCCACGAACGGAUGCGGAAGGUUUUUUACGGGUUGCCAUUGGAGAUGCCCUAAACGUGUGUGCACAUCCACGUGUUGUACUUUGUUUGUCUGAAAAUAUACAAAAUGCCUUGACGCGCGAGAUGAUCGGAUACUCGCGAGGGGAAAGUGGAAAACGGACUCCACUCCGCUGUCACACCAGCAACGUGGGGUUCCCAGGCUUUCAAAUCCCAGAUUUGUUGGCUCCCGCCCUCCGGCGAAAAAGAAGGAGCCGCUCCUCAACAACAACAACAAACUAGUACAAGCAGUACAGAGGACGAGGAUUUUUAAGUGGCUGGAAGCCAGCACGGGGGCAGAGGCGAUCAUGAAGGCGAGAAUGUGGAACAGGAGGCAGGAGGGGACACCCCCCAUGUGGGACGGAGAUGACCCGAGAUGAAAUACGCCCUAGAUAAAUAAACUACAGGGCCAGCCAGUGCCCUUGUCCGGGUCUCUCUCUCCCUCUCUCUCAGACUUCUGUAAGUAUUUCAUUUUUUAAACGCAGAUAAAAACAGCCCCUCCCCCAUUUAAAAAUCCGAGGUGGUAGUAGGGCACACCAUAUGAUGGCGCUGGUAGGACAUGCAUUAUGCAGUCGGUAGAUGAGGGGGGUUGAUAAAAAAACUCAGCAGCAGAAUUGUCUCUACUGUGAGUGACAAGCAAGCUCCACACUGACCGCACGCAGUAAUGCAGCAAAGGUAAACGGAAAUCAGAAGCCACAUGAAACUCGAUCUGAAUUUCGAGUGGCAGAACGGAUCAGUUUCCGCACAAACCCAAGCGAAAACAGAGAAUCCAAUGUCCGAGACAGGACCUAAACCUAACCUUUUUAGGUGUGUUCCGGUCUCAAGAAACCUUUUAAGAUUUUGCAGGCAGAUAUGAGUAGAUGGCUUGUGUGGACGGCAACAUACGUCACGCAUCGCCGGCAUGGCCGGUUGGCCAAGUAAAAUACGAACGCCAUCAUCAGGGCACCACGCCGAUGAGAUAUACUAAGAAAAAAAAUCAAGGGUCUCCUCCUUCUUUUCAGUUCAAAACCAGGCCCAUCUUGAAAUAAACACCAACCAACCAAGGCGCCAGCACACAGCAUACACACCCCAUCGCGGCACAUUCUCAGGAAAUUACGGUAGGCGUGUGUGUGUUGUUUCGUGCUUGCCAUGUCCUGUUGGCGCCAAGUCUAUUGUGGAAACAUAACAGAAUGACCAAAUUUUGCUCAUCACCUUGUUUGCACUCUGUGCUUGGCACAUUAGCAAAUCGAGUGCCACUGUCUAUUCCUAGAGAUACUUCACAUUCUUCUUCCUUCUCUCAGUAGCUACGCUACUUGGAAACCAAGCCUUGGCAUGGAAGUUGGAACCACGCCACAUGAUGAGAAUUAGUCAAAAGUUCAGACUAGGGAGUAGCAGACAUAAACAGACUAAUAAAUACCGAGAGGAAGUUCAAUUUGAAGAUAUAACCAGUAGUGGUAAUCCAUUGUUGACAUGAAAUCCAUAUCUGUGCUGGUGCCUCUGCCGACCAUAUUAGGGCUCCAUUGAUUCAAAGAAUUUUCAUAAGAAUUUUGGAGGAUUAGAAUCCUUAGGGAAAAAAAAUCUAUGUUGGUUGUUUGAUUCAUAGGAUUGAAUCCUUGUACUACUUCCCAUAGGAUUUGCAGCAUCCACCCAAUGCAAUCAAACAGUCAAAAAUCCUGUAGGAUUGGAUGAGCAUGACAUUUUAAUCCUAUGUUUUUCCUAUUCCAACGUUUUCAGAAUCCUGCGAAUCAAAGAGGCCCUAUUCUAUAGCAAGUACAGGUCAUCAUAUAGACAAGGUACUAAUGUGAAUUAUCAGAUGGACAUCAAUGGGACCCCUAGUCCCCAAAUUUCAGUUCAGUUAGUUCUCUUUUUCUUUUCUCUUAUAAAGAUUCUGCUCUGUUGUCUCUAAACAUCUAGGCAAAAUACACUAUGGCAAGAUCUGUCCCUAAGCUUUAUGUCAUAUAUUCUAGUCCUACAGAAGUUCAACCCCAAAUAAUACCACUAAGACUAUUUAAACAUUGCUAAAAUAAACAGUUCAACUCAACAACAUAAAGUGCACAAUUAAGUUGCACCAGGAAUAACCAAGGUAAGCAACAUGAGCAAAUAUCAAUACUGUACCAUAGAACAGUUCCACUGGUUAAAAUUAUCCUCUCGGCUCACAAGCAAUCCUUGAAAUGACAUGAUAAAUGCUAAAUGAGCAGAGUGUGAACAUCGUGGUAAGAACCUAGAGCAACAUCAUUACACUAUUAGAGUUACCGACACAAAUGUUGCUAAAUCCACUAGUCCUAGCUAAAUAAGUUGCGAUGAAAAGCGAUACGGGGUGUCCAACAACCAAGAUAGUAGUUUCCUUCGCAACAUUUU
rnacentral:lncRNA from 1 species